rnacentral:piRNA from 1 species
UCUGCUAAGUAACGGUGCCUUCCCAGACA